GAACAGGGCAGAGGAACCAGCAGUAACUUUACCAUUGUGGAUUAUAACUUAUUGUUACAGUUAUAAUAAUGAUGGUAAUGUAUCAGUGAGGCACCAGGAGGCAUGGGCAGUUAGUGACAGUUAGAGUUGUGCGUGAGGAGAAGGGGCAGGAGACAGCUGCUGGCAGGAGGAGGCGCACACUGCAGCCGUUACCUCAGUGCCUCAUACAGCUGAAAAUGAGAGAGGGUCUGCAUGUGUGACAGAGGCAGAAAUGCUGAAGAACCACAAAGCCCAGCAAGGGGAGAUGGACGCUUCAGUGCCGAUACUGUGAGAGCCUGUGAGGCUAAUGGUGAAACGAGCUGCGAGUUGCCUUCUUGUAUCCUUGAUCAGCCUGAAAGAGGGAGCCUGCCUGGCACUCCUGCUCUUUUGUACCUCCCAGGCUCCAUCCAGCAGCAGGGACUUGGAGGAAAGAGUCGGACAACAGGCUGGCUGGCUGGGGCGUAUGGUCUACUGGUGGCACAGGAGUGAGUCGUAAUCAGCGGCAGGGACGUCACCUGUGGAGUGAGUGACUGCAAGAAAAGACUGACUGUCCGUGACCACUGUGGUGCUGCAGCUGCUGAAGCUGUUAAUUUAUAAAUUCUAUGUUUAUUAAAUAAAGGGAUGUUAAGUAUCA